GGUAGGAUCUGGAUUUCCCAAUGGGCCAAGGCAUUGGAAAUGGGGUUGAUCGGUAGGAAUCACAAUCUUAUCGGCCAUGUUUGAAGGUUGAAAGAACAUAAAAGAAACAAAAAAAAGGGGUACAUAGUAAAUGGAUUUGUAGAGAAAAAGGAGUACAACAAGAGUAUGGUAAAAAGAAGAAAGGGGCUGUUGAGUUGACCUCAGGAACGACGAAGUUGAUGGCUGUUGGGUAUUUUAAACGCAAACAAAAAAAUACUUAAGCGCACG
rnacentral:lncRNA from 1 species